rnacentral:rRNA from 1 species
UACGUAGGGUGCAAGCGUUAUCCGGAAUUAUUGGGCGUAAAGAGCUCGUAGGCGGUUUGUCGCGUCUGCUGUGAAAACUGGAGGCUCAACCUCCAGCCUGCAGUGGGUACGGGCAGACUAGAGUGCGGUAGGGGAGAUUGGAAUUCCUGGUGUAGCGGUGGAAUGCGCAGAUAUCAGGAGGAACACCGAUGGCGAAGGCAGCUCGCUGGGACGGUACUGACGCUGAGACGCGAAAGCGUGGGGAGCAAACAGG